ACACCAAAAUGCACAGGCUGUGAACUCGAAGAGUAGGGCGGGACACGUGGUAUCCUGUCUGAAUAUGGGGGGACCAUCCUCCAAGGCUAAAUACUCCUGACUGACCGAUAGUGAACCAGUACCGUGAGGGAAAGGCGAAAAGAACCCCGGCGAGGGGAGUGAAAAAGAACCUGAAACCGUGUACGUACAAGCAGUGGGAGCACCUUCGGGUGUGACUGCGUACCUUUUGUAUAAUGGGUCAGCGACUUAUAUUCUGUAGCAAGGUUAACCGUAUAGGGGAGCCGCAGGGAAACCGAGUCUUAACUGGGCGUUAAGUUGCAGGGUAUAGACCCGAAACCCGGUGAUCUAGCCAUGGGCAGGUUGAAGGUUGGGUAACACUAACUGGAGGACCGAACCGACUAAUGUUGAAAAAUUAGCGGAUGACUUGUGGCUGGGGGUGAAAGGCCAAUCAAACCGGGAGAUAGCUGGUUCUCCCCGAAAGCUAUUUAGGUAGCGCCUCGUGAAUUCAUCUUCGGGGGUAGAGCACUGUUUCGGCUAGGGGGUCAUCCCGACUUACCAACCCGAUGCAAACUACGAAUACCGAAGAAUGUUAUCACGGGAGACACACGGCGGGUGCUAACGUCCGUCGUGAAGAGGGAAACAACCCAGACCGCCAGCUAAGGUCCCAAAGUCAUGGUUAAGUGGGAAACGAUGUGGGAAGGCACAGACAGCCAGGAUGUUGGCUUAGAAGCAGCCAUCAUUUAAAGAAAGCGUAAUAGCUCACUGGUCGAGUCGGCCUGCGCGGAAGAUGUAACGGGGCUAAACCAUGCACCGAAGCUGCGGCAGCGACACUAUGUGUUGUUGGGUAGGGGAGCG
rnacentral:rRNA from 1 species